rnacentral:rRNA from 1 species
UACGGAGGGUGCAAGCGUUAUCCGGAUUUACUGGGUUAAAGGGUGUGUAGGCGGACUUUUAAGUCAGGGAUGAAAUCCCGAGGCUCAACCUCGGAACUGCCUUUGAUACUAUUGGUCUUGAAUGUUGUUGAGGUGGGCGGAACGGGUCAUGUAGCGGUGAAAUGCUAGAUAUGACCCGGAACACCGAUUGCGAAGGCAGCCCGCUAAGCAACUAUUGACGCUGAGGCACGAAAGCGUGGGGAUCAAACAGGG